GAAAAAUGCUGGUGAAAAUAUUACUUGGUUCAUUAGUGUCCAUCGAAAAAGUGGGCCUGCUAAGCAUUGGAGUAGCGGUGUUUUUCUGCCUGAAUCUUCUCGAGUUACAUUGAAUCACCUUAGCCUUUUCCUCGUAGGGAAUCACAUUCUAGAUCAAAACAGGGAAUGCAGUCCAACUCAAUUAUUGCUUACUUUCAAGCCAGAAAAUAAAAUCAAGAAGUGCGGAAUCCGUAUAGUAUACGAGGAAGAAAUAGAAGAGAUGAUGCGG
rnacentral:misc_RNA from 1 species